rnacentral:rRNA from 1 species
AUUGAACGCUGGCGGCAGGCCUAACACAUGCAAGUCGAGCGGAUGAAGGGAGCUUGCUCCUGGAUUCAGCGGCGGACGGGUGAGUAAUGCCUAGGAAUCUGCCUGGUAGUGGGGGAUAACGUCCGGAAACGGGCGCUAAUACCGCAUACGUCCUGAGGGAGAAAGUGGGGGAUCUUCGGACCUCACGCUAUCAGAUGAGCCUAGGUCGGAUUAGCUAGUUGGUGGGGUAAAGGCCUACCAAGGCGACGAUCCGUAACUGGUCUGAGAGGAUGAUCAGUCACACUGGAACUGAGACACGGUCCAGACUCCUACGGGAGGCAGCAGUUGGGAAUAUUGGGCAAUGGGCGAAAGCCUGAUCCAGCCAUGCCGCGUGUGUGAAGAAGGGCUUCGGAUUGUAAAACACUUUUAGUUGGGAAGAAGGGCAGUAAGUUAAUACCUUGCUGUUUUGACGUUACCAACAGAAUAAGCACCGGCUAACUUCGUG